GUUGCUCUCCCACAGGUACAUCGAAAUGAUUUGAGUUUGAGCGAUUGGAAAUUUUGGUUCCAUACUUGCUGACAUCAUAGUCCACGCUUCUCAUUGGACCACAACUGUGGAAUAGCAAUUAAUAUUGGUUCCUUUCGGUCCAGGUGAAUUAAAAACACUCUUGGUUGCACGUGGAGGGAAGGUCACCAUUGAUUUUAUCUAGGCAGUACAUUCACAUAACUCAAGAGAUCUCAGCUAUACGCCGCUCCACAGGACUAGCACUAGGAUUAUAUGUAGAAGUUCUAGACCACUUGAUAUUAUCCAGAUGCUGCUCUGUGUCCUGAAGCAAUGAAUCUGCUAGUUCCUCUGCACCCCCCUCGGUGUCGACAUCUACUACCUCUGUACUCAGCUGUGCGCUGUACUCAGCUGGG